UACGUAGGGGGCGAGCGUUGUCCGGAGUUACGGGGCGUAAAGCGCACGCAGGCGGUCUGUUAAGUUUGGAGUGACAGUUGGUGGCUCAACCACCAAAGUGCUUUGAAAACUGAUAGACUUGAGGGCUUCAGAGGGACACGGAAUUCCGGGUGGAGUGGUGAAAUGCGUAGAGAUCCGGAGGAACACCAAAGGCGAAGGCGGCUACCUGGACCAGCACUGACACUGAGGCACGAAAGCGUGGGGAGCAAACAGG
rnacentral:rRNA from 1 species